UACGUAGGGGGGCAAGCGUUGUCCGGAUUUACUGGGCGUAAAGGGCGUGCAGGCGGUUUGUUAAGUGCAGGGUGAAAGCUCCCGGCUCAACUGGGAGAGGUCCUUGCAUACUGGCAAACUCGAGGGAGGCAGAGGAAAGUGGAAUUCCCGGUGUAGUGGUGAAAUGCGCAGAUAUCGGGAAGAACACCCGUGGCGAAGGCGGCGAUCUGGGAAGAUACUGACGCUGAGGUGCGAAAAGCGUGGGGAGCAAACAGG
rnacentral:rRNA from 1 species